rnacentral:rRNA from 1 species
GAUGAACGCUGGCGGUAUGCUUAACACAUGCAAGUCGAACGGACUCUUCGGAGUUAGUGGCGGACGGGUGAGUAACGCGUGAGAAUCUGGCUUUGGGUUCGGGACAACCACUGGAAACGGUGGCUAAUACCGGAUGUGCCGAGAGGUAAAAGAGAAAUUGCCUGAAGAUGAGCUCGCGUCUGAUUAGCUAGUUGGUGAGGUAAAGGCUCACCAAGGCAGCGAUCAGUAGCUGGUCUGAGAGGAUGACCAGCCACACUGGGACUGAGACACGGCCCAGACGCCUACGGGAGGCAGCAGUGGGGAAUUUUCCGCAAUGGGCGAAAGCCUGACGGAGCAAUACCGCGUGAGGGAAGAAGGCUCUUGGGUUGUAAACCUCUUUUCUUAGGGAAGAACAAAAUGACGGUACCUAAGGAAUCAGCAUCGGCUAACUCCGUG